UUUUUUUUUUUUUUUAGCCCUAAAUCCCAGGUAGCAGUAUCCAAGGUAACAGCAGAAAAGAGUCCAGAUCUGCACAUUGUCACUGUUUCUGCAAGUUUCAUGCAAAACUUAAGCCAUUUCUGCAUGCAACACAAUGCUGGUCAUUUAUUGUGCUUCAGACAACACUGGGAAGAUCUCCCUGUUCACCAGGACAGUUUGUUGACUGGGAAGCACAGGUUGGCUUUCCCAUAGACACAGACAUAUUACAAGACUCCUGUCCCCCCCCCUUUUUACUCCCCCCCAGCUGCCCCAAACACAUGGGAAUGUGCAUCUCGGCACCAGGUCCAGACAGUUCACUUGCCUACAAAAGUCCGGUGGCUUUAGUAAAGUCCCAUGAUUGCAGCUCCCACAUCCUUGGAAGGUCUUCGGUCCGUCACCAGGAAGUUAAUCAUGCUCUCUGACUUGAUGAGCAAGUUGCAGCCCAAAAAGAAGAUGCCGAACAUCACAGUCAAGGAGAGGACACAGAGGACAGCGAUCUGCACCACCCGCGUGAUGUAAAGGCUCCUCUCAUCAGGUGCCAGCACCGAGGAGCCACCGUCGGUUGCCAGCACCGAGCUGGUCCCAUUGCAGCAGGCCAUGAGCAUCCCCAAGCCCUGGGUCCUGUUGGGGUAAGCUCCCUGCUCUAGGAGACUCUGGUUGAGAAAGGAUCCGUUCAUGGUCUAUGCGUGAUCCCAAAUCUCCAGGGAAGGCAAGAGGAAAAGCCUGCUGUCCCCCUGCCCACCCUCACAUGCCAGGGCUCAGCGCUGCAGGUUCCAAGCCACCUCCUGCCUUUCUCCUCACAACACCUCGGAUGGACGGGAUGCUUCCUCGAGGCUGUGAGCAGGUGGGAAGCCAAUUCCUGCAGCCGAGGGUCAGCUCGCUCCCGGAUCCCUCCUGGCACAGGCAGCGUUAGCACAAGUCCCCAGACAAGCAAAAAGACAGAGAGAGAAAAGGCGAAGGGGGCACAGGGGAGAAGGCAGCAGCCAAGGGUUGUUCCAUGCCUCCUGCCCUCACUCUGCCCCCAAGCACAGGGCACCCCCUUUCUGCCGGGGGCUCUCCCACAGGAGGCAGAGCUGAUUCCUGCCGGCUGGAAGCUCCACAAAUGC
rnacentral:lncRNA from 1 species